AAUUUUCUAGUUCAAUGCUAUCAAAUGCACUAUAAAAUGGCUUGCCCAUUCCGUUUGUUCUUCUUCAGAGCUCACAUAUAACACAACGAUCAGCAACUCUUUCCUUCAGCACAAGAGCUAGAUAAGAUGAGGACUACCCAUAUGUUGCUUCUAGGCCUCAGUUUCCUUGUGUUCGCAUCGGGUACUCAUUUGUUCAUGUAAUACAUCUUUUCCGAAUCUUGUCCAACAAAUAACGAUUGUGUCGGAGAUUUUGCAGAUGCGGUAAUGGAAGCGUCAACAGACGGUAGCAUCAAACUCUUCACAUGUGUGGCAAAAAUUCUCCCAUCGCCAACAUGUGACAACCAAACUUGUGAUGCGAUGUGCAAGUACCGUACAGGGCAACAGAAGUCUGGUGUGUGUAUUGCCGAGGGAUGCAAGUGCACAUUGUGCAUAUACAACCCUCCACGAUAAUCACGACAUGUGUGCUAACUAGAUUAUAUGGGAUGGUUUCUUCCAUGAACAACGUGAUGAAACCACAAGUGGUGUGGUAAGGAUUUCAAUAAUGAUCCAUAUGAAAAGUGAUGAAUUUGUUCCUGCUGCUUGAAUUGUUUAAAAUCAUGAAGUAAGAUAUAUGAUGUUUAUGCGCACUUUCUGCAAGCAUAUUACGAAUAUCGGACGUUGAAAUAGAACUGGAUACUAGACAUAUGUACAAGAUUAUAAAAAGCUUUGGUU
rnacentral:lncRNA from 1 species